UACGUAGGGGGCAAGCGUUGUCCGGAUUUAUUGGGCGUAAAGAGCGUGUAGGCGGCCAGACAGGUCCGUUGUGAAAACUGGAGGCUCAACCUCCAGACGUCGAUGGAAACCGUCUGGCUAGAGUCCGGAAGAGGAGAGUGGAAUUCCUGGUGUAGCGGUGAAAUGCGCAGAUAUCAGGAAGAACACCCGUGGCGAAAGCGGCUCUCUGGGACGGUACUGACGCUGAGACGCGAAAGCGUGGGGAGCGAACAGGG
rnacentral:rRNA from 1 species